AAGAAGAAUCAACAUAGGAACUUGAAGAGAAGAUGAAAGAGAAGUACCCAGAGCUUUUUCCCGAAGAAGAAUAACUCAAAUUUCGGGACGAAAUUUUUUUUAAGGGGGGUAGGAUGUAACACCCCGUACUUUUCCUAUGUUGUGAGAUAGUGUCUUAACACUAUUGAGAGUACUGAGAUGUCGAAUUACGAGACUACUUUUUUUUUAUGACCAAAUAAGACUGAUUGUCUUUUAAAUAGAAAUACGAGUGAAUAAACCGACGAUGGAAUUAGAGUGAUGAGAUUUGAGAAAUGAGUUGAGAUAGAGAUGCUGAUUGAAUUGAGC
rnacentral:lncRNA from 1 species